CACGUAAAGAACCUACCUUAUAGACAGGGACAACUAUUGGAAACGAUAGCUAAUACCUGAUAAGAAAGAAACUCGCAUGAGAGAAGUUCGAAAGUCGGAGCAAUCUGACACUAUAAGAUGGCUUUGCGGUGCAUUAGCUAGUUGGUAGGGUAAAAGCCUACCAAGGCGACGAUGCAUAGCCGACCUGAGAGGGUGAUCGGCCACAUUGGGACUGAGACACGGCCCAGACUCCUACGGGAGGCAGCAGUG
rnacentral:rRNA from 1 species